rnacentral:rRNA from 1 species
AUUGAACGCUGGCGGCAUGCCUUACACAUGCAAGUCGAACGGUAGAGGGGGCAACCCCUUGAGAGUGGCGAACGGGUGAGUAAUGCAUCGGAACGUGCCCAGUUGUGGGGGAUAACACUUCGAAAGAAGUGCUAAUACCGCAUACGACCUGAGGGUGAAAGGGGGGGAUCGCAAGACCUCUCGCAAUUGGAGCGGCCGAUGUCAGAUUAGGUAGUUGGUGGGGUAAAGGCCUACCAAGCCGACGAUCUGUAGCUGGUCUGAGAGGACGACCAGCCACACUGGGACUGAGACACGGCCCAGACUCCUACGGGAGGCAGCAGUGGGGAAUUUUGGACAAUGGACGCAAGUCUGAUCCAGCCAUGCCGCGUGCAGGAAGAAGGCCUUCGGGUUGUAAACUGCUUUUGUCAGGGAAGAAAUCCUCUGGGCUAAUAUCCUGGGGGGAUGACGGUACCUGAAGAAUAAGCCCGGCUAACUACGUGCCAGCCGCCGCCGUAACAC